GACGAACGCUGGCGGCGUGCUUAACACAUGCAAGUCGAACGGAAAGGCCCUGCUUUUGUGGGGUGCUCGAGUGGCGAACGGGUGAGUAACACGUGAGUAACCUGCCCUUGACUUUGGGAUAACUUCAGGAAACUGGGGCUAAUACCGGAUAGGAGCUCCUGCUGCAUUGUGGGGGUUGGAAAGUUUCGGCGGUUGGGGAUGGACUCGCGGCUUAUCAGCUUGUUGGUGGGGUAGUGGCUUACCAAGGCUUUGACGGGUAGCCGGCCUGAGAGGGUGACCGGCCACAUGGGGACUGAGAUACGGACCAGACUCCUACGGGAGGCAGCAGUGGGGAAUAUUGCACAAUGGGCGGAAGCCUGAUGCAGCAACGCCGCGUGCGGGAUGACGGCCUUCGGGUUGUAAACCGCUUUCGCCUGUGACGAAGCGUGAGUGACGGUAAUGGGUAAAGAAGCACCGGCUAACUACGUG
rnacentral:rRNA from 1 species